rnacentral:rRNA from 1 species
AUGCCGCCGGCGGCCUGCCGGCCCCUUGAUCGGCGGGUGGGAGGCCGGUUCUGGGCAUUGGCUGACGAGGGAGACGAGGGGGAAGGCAGUGAGGAGGAGGAUGCUUCGCCGUCGACGCCGUCCGCGGCGGUUCCGCCGAGUUCACUGGAGUUGGAUGGAACGCCUUCGUCGUUGAUUUGCGAUCUGUUGAAUCAGGGAUACGACGAAGAUGAUUUGCAACAGGUGGUUGAGUCCUUGGUGCCGGCUUCCGAUCCGGCGAGGGAUGGCCUGGCAGCAGCUGAUCACAAGGAGGUGAUCCGGCGGAUAGUGCUUCGCCGGCUUUCGUCACGGCCGUGGAAGGGUCCGAUGCCCAAGGUCAUCUUCAGAGCAUCUACUUGGAUCCGUACGUGGUCAUUACUCAGUCGUGCGGACCUCAUGGAGCAUAUGGAUAUUGGGUGCAGCCGACGGGAGAUGGUUGCACGGGAUACUUACAUCCGGUUUGGAUGGCGGUCCACUAAUAGGAUAGGCGUUUAG